GAUUUCUUUAAGUUGAGUCAAAAAGGAGGAAGUCCAAAUGACUCACCGCUAUGGUGCCACCACACCUCCUUGGUCCUCCUCUCCGAUCUCACUCAGGAGAAUGUGGAGCCGUUUGAACAAACUGUUCUUCUGGUGCAUUUCUUCUUCUCUCAUAUCUCAAAAUGCUGCCCUGGCUUGUGAGGGAGAAACAAGUGAAUUCCCUUCUCCACAUUUGGAGUCAAAAACGAAUGCAGUCAUGAAGGGUCAAAAUGUAUCUCUGAUUUGUUCCAACCACAACAAAUCACCACAGAUCACCUAUUCUUUGUUUCGGCAUACGAAACACCUGGAAACCCGGGAGGGAAAAAGUGAACCCAUUAUUUUUAACCUAAGUAUCUCAGAAGCCUGUGAUUUGGGCCCCUACAAAUGCAAAACCCAAGUUUCUAACUGUUCAACAUACAGUCUCGAGUUCAGCUUCACAUUUGUUGACCCAGUGACCACACCAGUGCUGAGCAUUAAUGUUGUGCAAGUACAAACAGAUCGAAAUAUAACACUACGUUGCAUCUCAUUUAAUGGUUCUCUGCCCAUCAAUUAUACUUUCUUUGAAAAAGACAUUGCCGUAUCACCAGCUAUUUCCAAGUCUGUAAGGGAGCCUGCUGAAUUUCACCUAACCAAGAAGAACACUGGAAAAGGGGAAGAAUAUAGGUGUAAAGCUAAAAACAGAUUGCUUGGCCAUGCAAAAUACAGUCAACCAUGCUUCACCACACCCUCAACAGGCAGAGACAGCUGUCCUUUCUGCCUGCAGCUACUGCUUCCAGGGUUAUUACUGGUGCUAAUAGUAAUGAUCCUAAUUCUGGCACUGUGGAUACUACCGAAGUACAAAGCAAGAAAAACCAUGAGAGAUAAGGCAGCCAAAGACUACGGAAACAUGCCCAUGGAUGUUGGAAUAUAUGCAAAUACCUGUGCAAAUCAAGCAGAGGAGGAAUCUGUGCCAGGCUUGGAACCAAGGCAGUGGGUUUCCACAACCCAAGACGGAGCUGGACACUCUCAGGAGAUACAUUAUGCCACCCCCAUGUUCCAGCAGGUGGCACCAGGAGAUCAUGGAGCCUGUAAUGAUUAUAAAACUGGAUAUGUCUAUUCUGAACUCAUCUUCUGAAAUGUAAAGAUACAAAUUACAUCUCAGGAAUAUAUGUAAGAAUAGAAUUACUGGGCCACCGGAGGAUGUUCAGCUCCAACAAGUGGACAAUGUCGUUUCCAAAGUGGUUCUACCGCCGAUUCACACCCCAAGCAGCGUGAGAGCUGAUUCCCCCACAUCUUCAGUUUUCACGUAACCAUUCUUGCAGAUGCUGCUUCUGCCACAACUGCUUCAUGCCCAGAAAAUGGAGCCCAGACAGUGGAGUGUGGAGCUUUGCCACUGCAGACGUUUGCUUCUCAGCAACAACUGCCGCCUCUCUUCUACUUUCCAGAUCCUGGGCAUAGGCAUCUGACUGGUGGAAGAUAUUGAUAGCCUGGCAGCAAGGGAACUGUAAUUAGGUUUCUGACCCCAGCAAACGGAAGGAGGGUUACAAUGUGGUAUAAGAGAGCCAAUCAGAAUGUCGACCACACAGGCCAAAGUAUCAGUAUCAAGGGUCAAAUAAAUAUGUUUUAAGACAA